UCAGGUAGAGGUUGCGCUACGAAUGAGUAAUUUAUCAGAUGUCGCAGAGACAGAGGAAGAUAAAGGAAAGGUCACAGCGCCGAAAGAAGGCCGGGACUGCCAACGGCAUUCUUGGGUACGAAUCGAACAGGUUCGUAACUGUCAUCUAAUUUAGAUGGGGCGCUAUCGA
rnacentral:ncRNA from 1 species